GCCUGGCUGGCUUAGUGGGCACAGCGUGUGACUGCUGAUCUCAGGGUGGUGAGUUCAAGUCCCAUGUUGGACA
rnacentral:tRNA from 1 species